UACGUAGGGUACAAGCGUUAUCCGGAUUUACUGGGCGUAAAGCGUCUCGUCGGCGGGUAAGUAAGUGAUUGGUCUAAGCCUGGGGCUCAACCCCAGAAAGGCUGGUCAUACUAUUUAUCUUGAGGGUAUUAGAGGAAACUGGAACUCUUUGUGGAGGGGUGAAAUCCGUAGAUAUAAAGAGGAACGCCAAGGGUGAAGACAGGUUUCUAUGAUAUUCCUGACGCUCAGGAACGACAGCUAGGGUAGCAAAAGGG
rnacentral:rRNA from 1 species